GACGAACGCUGGCGGCGCGCUUAACACAUGCAAGUCGAACGGAAAGGCCUGCUUUCCCUUGUGGAUUGCGGGUACUCGAGUGGCGAACGGGUGAGUAACACGUGAGUGAUCUGCCCCCAACUUGGGUAUAAGCCUGGGAAACUGGGUCUAAUUCCCGAUAGGACUGCAGGGUGGUGCCUGUGGUGGAAAACGAUUUUCUAGUGGUUGGGGAUGAGCUCGCGGCCUAUCAGCUUGUUGGUGGGGUAAUGGCCUACCAAGGCGGCGACGGGUAGCCGGCCUGAGAGGGUGGACGGCCACAUUGGGACUGAGAUACGGCCCAGACUCCUACGGGAGGCAGCAGUGGGGAAUAUUGCACAAUGGGCGGAAGCCUGAUGCAGCGACGCCGCGUGGGGGAUGACGGCCUUCGGGUUGUAAACUCCUUUCGACCGCGAGGAAGCCACCUGGUUGGAUGGGUGGUGACGGUAGUGGUAGAAGAAGCACCGGCUAACUACGUG
rnacentral:rRNA from 1 species